UUCUUGCCAACAGGGCUGCUCUUGUAACCUGAGGGAGUAAAACAGAAGGACCUGCCUUGACCUUCCAUUUUUCAAGGGGACUGGAUGCUAAGGGGCCAGAAGGACUUUGUUAAAACCUCAUUCUCAAGAAACAGUUUCCUGACAUAGCUCCUAGGGCAGUGACCUGACAGGGCAUCUCUGUAAAACUUUCCCCAGAUGUUGCUAUCUUAAGCAAGGCACAGUUUGCUGGCUGUAGUGGCCAUGAGCAACAUCUGUAAGGCUGAGGAACCAGGAGCCAGGUGAGUCUCAGAGAGAAAGAGGGUGAAGGAGAGGGUAAGAAGGUAAUGUGUGAGCAUCCAAAUCCUACCAUAAUGUGCCCCCAGAGAGAGAGAGGACAUCAGAUUGCUGUCCUGAAAGAAAAAAAAAAAGUUUUUCUUAACAAGAAAAUGCUUUUGGAAAUGUCUAGCACCUUGCUUUUCUCUUGCUGCACCUGAAAGCAGAGGUAUCCUCGUAGUGACACCAUCGACCCGCACAAGCGGAUACUAUAAGCAAAAGUAAACAGUUUGGCAAAUGUCCCACAGCCUGCUUGUCCUGGGGUGUGUGCCUCCACGGUUAGAUGGGAGCCUGUCUCCUAGGAAAUAUGCAAAUGAAAAAGAAAGCAAAAAAAAAAAAAAAAAAAAAAAAAGCAUGCUGCAAAGUCAAGCCUAAAAAUUUCAGAAACGAUCUAGUUUUACUUAAAAAAAAAAAAAAAAAGAUAGAGGAACUCCAACUCACUAAUAAGCACAAGAGCAUUUCCCCUCUUAUUUACUUGUUUAUUAGCCUGUUUUGGUAAGGAAAGCUGCGCCAACUGUGCCCCAGGCUCACGUAAUCUGGAUUUGAUCAAGAUCUCCAGACAAUUGUGGCCGCAACUUUACACCUCCCCCAAU
rnacentral:lncRNA from 1 species